rnacentral:rRNA from 1 species
ACGGAGGAUCCAAGCGUUAUCCGGAAUCAUUGGGUUUAAAGGGUCCGUAGGCGGUUUUUUUAAGUCAGAGGUGAAAUCCUGCAGCUCAACUGUAGCAUUGCCUUUGAUACUGAGAGACUUGAGUUAUUGUGAAGUAGUUAGAAUGUGUAGUGUAGCGGUGAAAUGCAUAGAUAUUACACAGAAUACCAAUUGCGAAGGCAGAUUACUAACAAUACACUGACGCUGAGGGACGAAAGCGUGGGUAGCGAACAGG